UUGUGCGCUGCGCGCGGUACGACCGAUCUGUUUAUAACGUUAUCGGGGCGCGCGCGUGCGAUCGAGACAUGUGAGGUGCACCGAUUUCUCGCGUGCACACCAAUCACGCGACGGCGAACGCAUUGCGGACGUCGGGCGUAAAUCACAAGGCGCGGAUUUGCAUGUUGUGAAAAGUGCACAAUUAAGUCGCAUAACGCACAGUCGGUAGACUAUCGAAUAUUUCGGGAUAGGCUGCCGAACACCCUUGCAGUGUUGUCCAAUCACUAAUAACGACGCGAUAAACACUCGAUUUGGACGACGGGG